AACUCAAAUGGUUAAUAAGCUUUAUCAAAUAACAGAUCGUUCGAGAUCAAAACCCAAGUUAAAUUCUUAAGUGAAACAAUUUUUUGACCGGACUUUACGUACCUCACGGCCGAACUUCGAAUUACAGGACACCUUCCCUAGGAACUAAAGAGUUAACACAAAAAAAAUUCACACUAAAUAUUCAUUUGUUAGCAUUGUUGAUAGAUUUUUGUCAAAUAACAUCAGCGCCAACAGUUGGAUAAAAUGUUUAUAGCUAAGGCUAUGUUUGGAUUGAUGGUACAGAACGGAAUGAAGCGGAAUAAAAUAUAAUGGAAUGGAGUAGAGCGGAACGGAAUGGAACACAAAUUCCGUUCCAUUGUUUGGAUAUUCAAUAACGGAAUGGAAUAAAAUUACCACUCCAUUGUUUGGGAAGUGAACGGAAUGGAAUACAUUAUAACGUUUUUAUUCCAAUUUUACCCUUAUUUUAAAACAUUGAACUAUAAGCCAUAAUUCCAAAUGCCAAUAUCCUGAUUUUAAAACACUAGUACGUUUCAAUAGUCAAACGUGAGCAUUAAACGUGAUACAAUGAAGUACUAGUUUCAAAUACUACUGCAUAAUCAGGUCUUUUGGAUUUUAUUUUUUUGACAAAAACCAAAUUAACUCAUUUCAUUCAUAACAAUAUAUUCAAUACAAGAUGACAUAUGAUCAUGACAAUGGGAACCAGGUCUUUUGGAUUUUGAAUAUCAUAAUUCAGUACCAUUGCAUAAUAUAAUGGUGGUUACUUGAACAACCAUCAUUUGAAGCAAUUCAAAAUGUUUUUUCUUAUAACUUCAUUAGUCAUCUAUAACAAAUCAUAAAAUAAAAUAAGAUUCAUUUAUAUAGAAUUAACAUCCAACAAAAUAAAAACAAUAUAAAAACCACUAACAUGACACAAGCUUCUAACUACAUAUAGCAGGGUACAGAUAGCCACCAAAACCCACAACAAAUGUGCAACACAAGUAGAGAAAAAGGGGAUAAAACAUGAUAGCAGUCUAAACAAACAAAACACACCUAAACCAUCGAAUGAGAAAACAAACAAAACAACCCCAAUAUGAAAACACACAUGAA
rnacentral:lncRNA from 1 species